AAUAAACCUCAUCCACACCUCAAGCCAACGCCAAACUCCAGCUGAUAACCCAUAGAUGCCCUGCCCCCUUCUUCCUCCUUUCAAACCGACAGACAGCCCACAAACCAUACGAUCUCUUCCCAAAAUCCAGACACCAGAUAUCCCCGCACCAUUACUAGCAGCAGAACCGUGAAGACCCAGUAGCGCCACUAUCCUCGGCACUAUAAAACCUACGCUACAGACGGUGUUUGAAAAUACGAUUGACUGUAUUUCUCAAAAUUUUAAAUUUUUUUUUAAAAUUAUUUUGCAGCCCCCAAAAUGGGAGAAGAAGGUGUUCUGUCUCUCUUUGUUUUUUUCUUUAUUAGCUUUCUAGAGAGAGGUAAGAGCUUCUCUCUCUAGAAAGCUGUUCUGUCAUCUCUCACUGUCUCAAGAAGUUUAGCACGGACUUCAACAAGCAAAAGAGCGGGAAAACCUCAAUUUAGCUCUCCAAAUAUGAACUUCACUAUCAAUCCUCAAGCCUUUUGGUUUUAUCAAUUUUCUCCUACACAUUACAAAAUUACAACUACAUUACGAGAGAAAAAAACCUAAUUCAGGAGGCGUUUAGCACUGCGGAUACAGACUCAUCUACACUGUGGAUUUAUAAGGGUUGACGAUUUAAUCCUAAAAAGAAUGGAGGGAGACAGAAAAGAUUGUGUGUUUGUUUAUUGCUUAGAUAUCAUCACAGCAUGUCAAAGGUCCGGUCGGUCUCUAGAAUGAUCAUAGUUGUUUGCCAGGGUUUUCUGUACGUGUUGGAAGGAGGCUGUCCUCAACAGAUCUGGAGUUUUCUUCUCUGCUGGAACUGUCCCAGGAAACGUUUGGUAAUCAAUGAACUCGAGACUUUUCUUUGAGUUUCAUGGUUCAUAUUUUUGUUAGAUAAGAUAUGCAAAUUCAUCCAUGCCUGUAAACAAAACUGAUUGAAUUAGCAAUUUUUCCUUUGAUAAAUUGCAACAUUUGUGCAACCUUUUUUUAAAUUUGAUGAAAGAAGAAUUUUGAUGUUUCA